rnacentral:sRNA from 1 species
ACUUCAUAACGUGAGUUCUUUGUCCCGCUUCUGACUUGUACUC